GAGUACCAACAUGUUACAAAUGAGAAUUUUCCCCACAAAUUCUUUGGACAACUGCACCAUCACCUAUUUCAUUUGAUGACAAUUUUAAGGCAAACAGCAUCCAAAACUGGCAAGACAGCAGAUACCCUGGCUAAUCUUUUGAAGGUUUAUGAUGAGCAGUCUUUGCAGGAACUGCAUGAUGUCAGUUCAUGAUGGAUUACUGUUAUCAGAGGUCUUUUGGUCUUGCUGCGUGAGCGUGACUGGGGAUUCUUUAGGACCACCCUGAUUAAUAAUCCUGAAGCGCUGACUGAAGAUGCUUUAUUGGCCCUGCAGUCACUGAGGGUCUCUGCUGUCCUGAAGAAUGAAUUGGACACCACCCACAGCACACUUCCAGACCUUUUUUUGUCUUGUUUGGAUUAAUGUAUGCUCUUCACAUAAUAUAUAGUAAAGGACUUUGAACUUGUACAAAAAGUUUUGCUUGGCAUGGAUGAUAGAAAAUAGAAAGUCGAUUAGCAUAGAAUCCUUAAAGAAUGAGUUGAUGUAGAGCCUUUUUUUGUACUCAAUAAAGACUGUCACUGGGGUAGUAACUUCAAAACAUGUAUGUACCUUUAAUUGGUAA